AUUGAACGCUGGCGGCAUGCCUUACACAUGCAAGUCGAACGGUAGCGGGCCUUCGGGUGCCGACGAGUGGCGAACGGGUGAGUAAUGAAUCGGAACGUACCUUUCAGUGGGGGAUAACGUAGCGAAAGUUACGCUAAUACCGCAUAUUCUGUGCGCAGGAAAGCAGGGGAUCGCAAGACCUUGCGCUGAUUGAGCGGCCGAUAUCAGAUUAGCUAGUUGGUGAGGUAAAGGCUCACCAAGGCGACGAUCUGUAGCGGGUCUGAGAGGAUGAUCCGCCACACUGGAACUGAGACACGGUCCAGACUCCUACGGGAGGCAGCAGUGGGGAAUUUUGGACAAUGGGGGCAACCCUGAUCCAGCCAUGCCGCGUGAGUGAAGAAGGCCUUCGGGUUGUAAAGCUCUUUCGGCCGGGAAGAAAUCGUAUCAGCUAAUACCUGGUGCGGAUGACGGUACCGGCAUAAGAAGCACCGGCUAACUACGUGCCAGCCGCCGCCGUAACAC
rnacentral:rRNA from 1 species